GUUGCUCACUUGGGAUCUUUGACCGUCAUUGUGACAUGCAGUUUUUUACAAAUUUCAUUUUAGUUGCAGCAUGAGGGAUCUAGUUCCCUGACCCAGGAUCGAACCCAGAGCCCCUGCAUUGGGAGCAUGGAAUCUUAACCACUGAACCACCAGGGAAGUCCUGGGUCUUCCAGUUGUAGUAGUCAGGUGUUCAUCCCAAGGGCACUCCUUCCUUAACAUCCUGCACUCUGAACUUCCUCAGAGUUCACUUCCUGGGAAGAUUAACCCAUGACAAGUGUCCAGCCCAGGAACUUCCAUAUUUAUGCAAUUUACUUUCAGUAAAUCCCUUUACAGUAAGGGAUAUACUUGACUUCAAUCCACAGAAAUAUAUAGAGACUAACAUGCUGAGCCCUUAUGUCAGAAAGUGAAGAAGAACUAAAGAGCCUCUUGAUGAAAGUGAAAGAGGAGAGUGAAAAAGUUGGCUUAAAGCUCAACAUUCCAAAAAAAGAUCAUGGUAUCUGGCCCCAUCACUU